AGAUUGAACGCUGGCGGCAUGCCUUACACAUGCAAGUCGAACGGUAACGCGGGGCAACCUGGCGACGAGUGGCGAACGGGUGAGUAAUGCAUCGGAACGUGCCCAGUAGUGGGGGAUAGCUCGGCGAAAGCCGGAUUAAUACCGCAUACGACCUAAGGGUGAAAGCGGGGGACCGUAAGGCCUCGCGCUAUUGGAGCGGCCGAUGUCAGAUUAGGUGUUGGUGGGGUAAAAGCCUACCAAGCCGACGAUCUGUAGCUGGUCUGAGAGGACGACCAGCCACACUGGGACUGAGACACGGCCCAGACUCCUACGGAGGCAGCAGUGGGAAUUUGGACAAUGGGGCAACCCUGAUCCAGCCAUGCCGCGUGCGGGAAGAAGGCUUCGGUUGUAAACCGCUUUGGUCAGGAAGAAACGCUCUAGGUUAAUACCGUACGGGUAAUGACGGUACCUGAAGAAGUAAG
rnacentral:rRNA from 1 species